GUGAAGCGGCAAAAGCUCAAAUUUGAAAUCUGGCACUUUCGGUGUCCGAGUUGUAAUUUGAAGAAGGAAGGUUUAUGGGUCUUGUCUAUGUUCCUUGGAAUAGGACGUCACAGAGGGUGAGAAUCCCGUGCGAUGAGAUUCCGUAUUGUAAUCUUCCUUCGAAGAGUCGAGUUGUUUGGGAAUGCAGCUCUAAGUGGGUGGUAAAUUCCAUCUAAAGCUAAAUAUUGGCGAGAGACCGAUAGCGAACAAGUACAGUGAUGGAAAGAUGAAAAGAACUUUGAAAAGAGAGUGAAAAAGUACGUGAAAUUGUUGAAAGGGAAGGAUUUGAGAUCAGACUUGAUUUUGCAACCUUACUCUCGUGGUGGGGCCCCUGCAGUUUACUGGGCCAGCAUCAGUUUGGAUGAUGGGAUAAUGACUUUGGAAUGUGAUUCUGCUUCGGUGGAGUGUUAUAGCCAUUGUUGAUACCGUCUAUCUAGACUGAGGACUGCGUCUUUGACAAGGAUGUUGGCAUAAUGAUCUUAAAUCACCCGUCUUGAAACACGGACCAAGGAGUCUAACGUCUAUGCGAGUGUUUGGGUGUAAAACCCGUACGCGUAAUGAAAGUGAACGUAGGUGAGAGCUCUUUGAGUGCAUCAUCGACCGAUCCUGAUGUCUUCGGAUGGAUUUGAGUAAGAGCAUAGCUGUUGGGACCCGAAAGAUGGUGAACUAUACCUGAAUAGGGUGAAGCCAGAGGAAACUCUGGUGGAGGCUCGUAGCGGUUCUGACGUGCAAAUCGAUCGUCGAAUUUGGGUAUAGGGGCGAAAGAC
rnacentral:rRNA from 1 species